GCUAGGAUUACAGGCGGGAGCUACCGCGCCCAGCCUGAGGUCUUAGAUUCCAUGAAAUACGGUAAAUGAUGUGGCAAGCGCCCAGUACGUUGCCCCUGGAACCAUCUUCUUUCAGCCAGAAAUCUGAGGAAUGGGUUUGGGUGGGGGCUCAGUGUUCUGGGAGGAGAACUGGGUUCGAGCUCUACCGCUGGGCCCCAGGUGUUGGCGCCCAGUAGUCCGGGAAGCGCUCCACAAGCCCAGGCAAGUCCCAACAGCAGUGGCCCUGGCUCCGCGCCGCAGACCCAGCGGCCCAGUGACCCCAGUUCCCGGCCGAGGCACCGCCAGCGGCAUCUCCCGCUUCCAAGGUUGUCCCGGUCCGGGCCGCUCGGGGCCAGGAAGGGAGGGGCGCCCCGAGUGACUCAGCCUCCGUGACUCGGCGGAACGGACGCCUCUCAUUCCCUCCCUGACGACACGUGCUCACAGCCCCUCGACAGGAAAUGGGCACCUGCAACCUCUCAGGUCCCCCCGCCGGCAGUGGGCGCCGUUCGGUGCGGAGAGGCGGGGGCGCGGGAGUUGCCGGCAGCACUACCCAGCGCACGGCCCGGCACCUCGCGGUCCCUGUUCGGCAGAGGGGUCGAAAGCCAGUCUCCGGGAACCUGUCAGGUUCCACGGCCAGGGACCGCCAGGCUCCACUGCGUCGAGAUAGGGACUUGGCGACGGAGUAGAGAAGGACAGACACACUGACGGUCCCAGUGCCGAGGAUUCCCACUCUGGCCGGGCUGUUCUCCCAAUAGAUCCGGCGUCCCUCGUGUGGCGGGACGUUUCAGCCACAGCCCAGACUCCGGAUCCCAGGAAUUUAGCCCGAGAUGGAGAGACCCUCUGAUCCGUCGGUGCCAGGACUAACCCAGACACCCGGGGUCCCUUCUGAGGCAGGUGGGACACAGAAAUUAGCGGUGGACCGGAGGAAAGAAAGAAGAGCUGUGGUCACCAGCUUGGAGAUUGUGUCAAAGGUCCGCGUGGAUGUGAGGCCAUGGUCAAAUGUGCUUGGAAGGGUCUCCAAAGGGCAGAGGGUGGAAGAUCCCCAGAAACCAAUUCAGACUUCACCCCAGGUGGGCCCCUGUCCCAGGGGCCAGAGCUGCUCAGGGACCAGGGACUCGCUCCCUGCCACACAGGUGUGUAUACUACACUUGGGAGUUGUGGAGGCUGCCGGAGCAUUUCUAGCCUUGACCUUGGUCAAAUUACUUACCUCUUUCUGCCUCAAUUUCUUUAUCAGUAAAAGGAGGACUGUGAGGACCGAAAUGAGUUAAUGCAUAUAAACUGCUUAGAGUAUGCUUGGUGCAGAGUAGGUCCGUGUACAUGUUCGUCUUAUUAUUUGAGCCUCAGUUUUCUUAUCUAUAAAAUGGGAGAGAAAGGACGCCUGAGGUGGCCUUUGUCCAGCUCUCACUCUGCUUCCAGUUUCUGGUUUUAUUCCCCUAGAAAUUGCCCUCUAGGCCCUGCCACCCUGUCUGACUUUAUCCCUCCGUCUGGCCUGAGUUUUCUUCUCCCCCCACCCAACCAAAGAAAGAUGGAGUUGGGGGGCUUCUCAGCGGGGUGCCUUAGGUUUGCCCUGGGUGCCUAGGGGCAUGCUCGUCAGAGAAGUGGGGAGUUUUCCUCUUCAGAUGAAUCAGCUGCUGACCCAACCCUCUUCCCUGCCAGGGCCCCUCCCAGCAGGCGGGAGCCGGGUGCAGCUGCCCCACCGGGAAAAUCCCCAAAAUCCUGCCAAAGCUCUGGCUGAAGUGUUCUCCCUACUCAGCUGUUUCCUGUUCUCCCUGAUUCUGCCCGAGUCCCAGCUGGAGUCAGGGGUCAAGCAGAGAUUCCCCCCCACACACACACACACAGCCCCUCUGG